UAUGAUCUGAAGUCAGGUGGGAUUACCCGCAAAACUUAA
rnacentral:rRNA from 1 species